GUGUCAGCAGCCGCGGUAAUACAGAGGGUGCAAACGUUGCUCGGAAUUACUGGGCGUAAAGCGCGUGUAGGUGGCUCCGCACGUCCGAUGUGAAAGCCCAGGGCUCAACCCUGGAAGUGCAUAGGAUACGACGGAGCUGGAGUGCUGAAGAGGAGAGCGGAACUCCCGGUGUAGAGGUGAAAUUCGUAGAUAUCGGGAAGAACACCAGUGGCGAAGGCGGCUCUCUGGGCAGACACUGACACUGAGACGCGAAAGCGUGGGGAGCAAACAGGAUUAGAUACCCGAGUAGUCC
rnacentral:rRNA from 1 species